ACUUUGUCUCUGGCUGCCUUCCACACAGGCCCAGCUGUCAGCUCGCCCAGCCUCCCCUCAUGCUUGCUGCUAGCUAGACCAGAAGUGGAUCUGGUCAGUGCCUUAUUCAGUCAUCAUGAGAUGCAGAUGGGAACAGAUGCAGAGGCCCAGAGUCAGACAUCAGAAGGAGAAAAAGUCUUCACGGAGGGCUCCAUCAAAUCCCUCCCCCCCAGAGUUCAAGGAACCACGAAGUCGAGGCAGAAAGUGUAAGAGCCAGAAUAAUGAAUAGAUGACAAGUGGACCUUUAAUAUGGAGGAGUCAAACAGGAGAAGUAAAAUUAGUACUGAAUGUGGAUAAAGAACAAUGUCGUACCACAUGAAGAGAUCCAAGCAACAGAAUAUUACCCGGUGUCUGGUCUGCAUCACAAGAUUCUCCACGGUGCAUGCCAGCGAGUUCCUCGAGGAAGACGUCCUUGCCACUUUUGGGUUUGGCUCCUCAGUCAACUUACCUAGGUUCACUAAAGAACAGUCCCAGCUAUCACGCCACUCCUCUAAUCCCAGCUCCAUUCAACACACUUCCUCCACACAACACACUUCCUCCACACCCAUAUACUGUCCCCAACGGCUGUUUCCGGUGAGUGGCCCCACCCCCCCGGAGACAGGUCCCUCCCUAUCAGUCUCAGGCUGCGGUCCACACAGUUCCAGCUGUCAAGCUUCUCUGAACCCGCUCUCCACAGACUCCCCACAAGUUUGCUGUCAGCGUAGACUAGAACUGGAUCUGACAGGACGCUGCACCCGGAUAUCUGACCACCAUACUGAGUUCUGAACCCUUCAGAUAAAAGAUAGCCUUACACCUCGACUUGACUACCAGCCCGUGAGCGACAAACUUAUCCCAAACAAUCCCAACACACAAAAAUGACAAGUCAAAACCAAAUCCUGAAAAUUUGACUUGCGGAGAGACAUUUAAAGAACUUGGAUUUUGAAAAGAAAUAGGUGUCUCAAGAAGUCAGUGAAUUUAUCUUGAGCUGCAUGGCUUUCACCACUAGAUGGUGGUCUUGCCAUUUUCCUAAUUCAGAGAGGAGUUUGUCUUCUGUGACUCAAGAUAAAAGUGCUUUGAGAUAAAACAGACUGUACUAACCCAGCAUAAUCCCAAAGAAUAAACUAAACAUUUUCUCUCC
rnacentral:lncRNA from 1 species